rnacentral:misc_RNA from 1 species
GAAAAAAAAAAUCCCUCUUCAUAUGAAUUAAGAUUUACGAAGCAGAAUCAACCAAAUUCCAAACCGAAAGAAAGAAAAAAAGAAAAAUUCUCCAAUAUUCUAUCAUAGAUAUCUAAGCAUUCACACUUAUACUUCCACAGCAUAACUAUCAAAUUUUACACUAAAUUUAAUAAAAAAAAAAUUUCCAAAAUUCCCACCAAAUCUGACCACUUCCCGGCAGUCCAACAAACACUCGCCAAAAUUAAUGCCAUAUGAGCGAAAAACCACCAAAAAUUACCUUUGAAAGUGUUUCCACAAUUG